GAUUGAAUCAAAAUUAUACUAGUAAUUAGAAUAAAAGAGAAAGGAGAAGUAUCAGUAAAUUUUGUGGAAUGUGCUAUCAAGAAAACAAGGGUUUGGUGAAGGUACAAAGAACUUGCUAGCCGAGGAAAUAAAAAAAGAGGAAGAAAGAAAAGUUGGAAUCGACGGCGAAGCUCAGAUUCGACCGGAAAUUGUAGAGCGGUCUCCAAUCCAAGGUUAAGAAGAUUCGUGCGUCUGCAGGAUAGCUUAGAAGAUGUUAAUCUUCCGUUGCUUCUGUUGAGUCGGGUCUUACUCUGAUACGUAACACUUGGGAAGGGAUGAACGUUUAGUCGUUGUGUAUUAAUGUAAACAUUUUUUUGAUAACAUGUAUAUGAAUUAUUUCCGCUGUGUAUGAAAAUGUGAAGUUUAAUAUUUAUGACAUAUACUUUGGUUCAUCUGAA